UACGAAGGGGGCUAGCGUUGCUCGGAAUCACUGGGCGUAAAGGGUGCGUAGGCGGGUCUUUAAGUCAGGGGUGAAAUCCUGGAGCUCAACUCCAGAACUGCCUUUGAUACUGAGGAUCUUGAGUACGGGAGAGGUGAGUGGAACUGCGAGUGUAGAGGUGAAAUUCGUAGAGAUGCGGAGGAAUACCAGUGGCGAAGGCGGCCUUCUGGGACUCAACUGACGCUGAAGCGCGAAAGCAUGGGGAGCGAACGGG
rnacentral:rRNA from 1 species